AAAAACAAACCACAGCCAAGCAGUAAGGCUUGACGCUAUUGUAUACUACUUCACAAAGCGCAACCUGUUAGAAAAUAACAACAGAGGUGACAGGGUGCCCGUCACUGUGACAUACAAGGCUACUUGGAACACAUUCUGCACUACAUCACCAAGUGCCGCCGUCGUCAGACAA